rnacentral:sRNA from 19 species
GUCAUCAACCCCUGUCUAAAGGCUAGGGGCUUGUCCGAAACAAGUCGGACAACGUAAGUGGCGACUAGCUCACCAUCGACACAGUUUGGCACACACCUCCGGAUGCUUCUCCAGUCCGGACUAUUUGUA